rnacentral:lncRNA from 1 species
CAAACAUCCUAUUUGAAAGUGCUCCCCACACAGAAGCUUUUGUUUCUAAAAUCUAAUUCAUUCAUACAUGAAAAUCAUUCAAAAAUCUUUUGAAAACUGUUUCCCACACGGAAACUCUAUUUUAAAAACCGACUACCUCGAGGGGUAGAAAACCACGAUGCGUAAAUCCAUAAAUACAAAUCCGAGAACCACAAGGUAUACAAACAUCCCAAAACUGAAGAUCCAUAAACCAAAUCCAUAAUUCCACAAAUCCACAAAUUCAACCAGCUCACAACAUUCAAACAUCAAGUAUGAUCAUCUAACUGAACCAUAUAAACUAACUAAGCUAUAACAACAGAAUAGUAAGGAUAAAAACUAAAUCGAUAACCUGGGUCGGAAGCUCUAUCGACCGCUACGAACGUACCUCACGUCUCGUCCCAAAACUCAUCGCCUGCAAUACCUGAAAAAU